UUUGUAAAAGCCUAACUUCUAAUAGUUUAACUUAUUUUUGCUUAAACCUUGCGUCCCUGUGGAUACUUUUGUGCAUAUGUAUGUUUUUGACUCGCCUGCAUUUUGUUCCGACUAUAUUUUGACAAGAAACUUAUCUUCAGUGGAUAUUUUAAUUUUUUAGCAUGAAUAAUCAAAGACCUCCACGAUUGAACCAGCUGUCUGGAGCUGCUGGGAGAAAAAGAGCGAUGAUUCGGAAAAAAACGAAAGCAAAAACAAACGAACGCUUUUAGAUUGCGUUCGUUGGACAAAAAUCGAAGAUAAAUGCAAGCAGUUCAAUGAUAUUGAGAUCGGUAUCAAUGACUCUAAUGAGUUGCCAGACCAUAAUUCCGACAACCUUUUUCUUGCCGAUGACAUCGAUGACUCCCAAAAAACAUCAUCACAUUUAAAAAAGGAUCAGUUGGAUUUUGUACUUGAUUGUCACAAUGACCAACAAAUUUAUAAAAGUGAUCUUUCUAUACCAAUCUCUAACGAUCCUGCACUAUAGAAAUCAAUAUCAGACACUGAUCGAACGGAUA